CAGUAGCCGCGGGAACACGUAGGGUGCGAGCGUUAAUCGGAAUUACUGGGCGUAAAGCGUGCGCAGGCGGUUGUGUAAGACAGGUGUGAAAUCCCCGGGCUUAACCUGGGAACUGCGCUUGUGACUGCACAGCUAGAGUAUGGCAGAGGGGGGUGGAAUUCCACGUGUAGCAGUGAAAUGCGUAGAGAUGUGGAGGAACACCGAUGGCGAAGGCAGCCCCCUGGGCCAAUACUGACGCUCAUGCACGAAAGCGUGGGGAGCAAACAGGAUUAGAUACCCCUGUAGUCCCUGUCUCUUAUAC
rnacentral:rRNA from 1 species